GCAUCUCCUCUUUGGCCCGGGAAUUUGUCUUUGUUGUUCUCUUUUUUCCAUUUCAUUCGUCUGUUUUGAAACCAAAUCUUCACCUGUCUCUCUGUCAGGCCUAAUGCAUGGGAAACCUCGAUCCGCCGCUUGCGUGUCAGGAAUGAUGGAAAAAGAGUCCUGCCUUAACUCCACGUUACCACUUCUCCACCUAAGGCUUAAUGAGGGCCGAGCCAAGAUGUUUACCUGAGUACAUCCCGCAGUUAUAUAACACUUGAUAUUGUUCUGGUUUUUAUCGAUACAACAGUGCACCUCAGAUUAAACUACACUAUUUUGAAAGUAGGAAAUUAAUAAGUGACAGAUUUAACGGGAGGUGGGUGAUAAGUUGUUCACUUGUGUCCAGUUAAAAACAAACAACAAAAAGAUGAUACAGCAAUCAAAAAUGGGAUUUAAGAUAUUCGUCCAUUUCGAAAUGAAAAUUAAUGAUUAAGAAGGAAGAGUUCGGACACUUAUCAUCUUAUUCGUGCACACACAUACACACACACGCCCGCGCGCGCGCCCGCGCAGUUGCAUACAGGUACACACAACCAAUAAAGACACACUAAAACACAGACGCGCGCGUCACACACACACACACACACACACACACACACACACAAUGUGUUCGCCCCUUUUAAGACAUUAGAGAAGAAUACAAAAGAAUUCUAACCAUGGGGUCUCAUCCAAGGGAACAUAAGACCGGGAGACGGAUUUUGAUUUAGGUGGCCUUGUACUUCUCCGGGGUUAGUUCCAUUGGACGAUUUACAGUCUGGGUAUUGCGCUACGCUUGCCUCUUGCUGGGUACCAUAAAGCGAUUGCCUCGGAAGGGUUUCGUAUCCAUAAAAUUUAGUGGCAUCUCCAUGGCAAGCUAAAGCACAUGGGUUUUGUUGGUAUCCAGGGCUAGAUAUUCCCGAUGUCCCGUGAUGAAAAAAGUCUUGGACGUGAUGAGACGGGUGUUGAAAGCCCGGCGCAGCCGCUCCGGUUCCGUACAUCAGCGCAUGACUUCGGGUGACGCUUUGGGGGAACCGGCAGUCGUAGUAAGUUGGUUCCAGUGUUUCGCUGCCUUUGUACUUUGAAAAAAGGGGGUUAACAAAAUAUGAGCUCAUUUUCCCUUCGCAUUCAAAAAUGAAAUGUUAUUGUUCGAUAAUGUGCUCUUGUAAAAAAUGUUUUGCUGCUCAAGUUGUAGUCCACCACACAAACACAACAAACGGAACCCAAGGGACGGGGGUUAAAAAAAGGCUCGUGUCCCCGUGGAUAAUCGUAGUUCGUUCGCUCUCCGGUUCACUCUCUAAUUCUGUUAUACGAUAAUGUAGCUAUAUCUCACCUUUUCCUCUUAUUUUCAGCUUGAAAUCCGGCUCAUGUCAUGUACGGUUGAUGUGUGCUACAGCUAAAGCUGGCUAGCUCCGCCGGUACAGUCACAGGCGAUUUUUUUUCUGCUUCCCACCCCCACCACAUCGACCCCCUCCUCCUCUCUCUCCACCAACCUUCAAACCACCCCCCUCAUCCCCACAUUCCCUCUUUCCACUGGCGUUCCCAGACGCCUACCUUGAACAACAGAACGAGGCAAUGUUAAAUGGCUCAUGUUGAUGGACUGUUUUAAAACAACAAAUAUCCCAUAGGAAUAUAAUUUCUAUAGUAUAUUUUACGUGUCUAUAUCCACACGACAAAAAUCAUCUCAUCGAAUGCACUAGGCCAAACUAUUACAUGGGUCACCCACCGUUUUAGCUGACCGUUUAAAUUACAUAUAAUGUAGCGUUGCAUGGUUGUAAUAAGAAAUUGUAAUGUAACCCUAACCAUUACAAUAUUAUCAAAAGCCAAGAACAGGGCCCAAACGAGUGCACCUUACUGAUCGAUUGAAUUGUAUCGAUAUUCCUGACACAAAGAUCUCCUCCAGCACAACACACACACACACACGCACACGCGCGCGCGCGCACACACACACACACGCCAGCUUCUUGUCCUGGUCUGAUCGUUUACCUGUUUUUGUAAAUCUUAACAACUAUACAAAAUGUCCCUCAUUGUUUCAGUUGGUACAGACUUAGCCCACGUCAUGUUUUGUUUCUACACGUGCACAUUCGCAAGGCCUCUGUUAAUGGAAUCCGUUUUAUGGUGUGACUGACGAUAUUAAUGCACGGUUUAAAAUGUAGCAGGAUGCUGACUGGAAUAAAAUUUAGCAGAUAGCUUAAAACUGCUCUCGAUCAUUUACUGAAAAUUACAUUUCCAUCACCACCCAUGUAAGAAAACAACGUUAAGCCUUUGCAUCUUUAGGUUUGUGUUAUAGUUUCACUGGCAUUCCAUUAAUAAAAACGCUGCUACUUUUA